ACAUGCGUCGAUAAAUAUAUUACAUGUGAGAUAAUAUCGUCGAAGCUUGAGAAUGAAGGAAGAGGUGAUUAAUCAAGAGUUGGAUAAGGACCAAUGGAAAUUAGAAGCUCAAGCUAUUAUAAAUGACGUGAAACAACAUUAUUUAAUCCGAAUUUAGCCGAAGAUAUCCGAGUAAUAUAGUAAUUUGCAAGGACAGUAUCGUAUUUGGUACAUGAUUUGUAUAAAUAUUGUGAUGGAUACUGCAAUAGAUACGAUACUGUGAUAUUGACGAAUCGCGCGUUCCUAGGAAAUAUCCCUAGGAAUCAAAAGAUCAGUCAGUGCAAGUGGUAAUAUCGGUUGUGUUUACCCCCUCCUUUACGUUCGUUGCUCUGUGUUCCGUUUGGCGUAUUCCACUGUCGAGUUGUGAAGUAACGAAGCGGUUUCGCCGAAUGUGGCGUAUCGUGUGUGCAUUUUAUGAUGUUUCUGAAUGAGUUUACCGUUGAUUAAAUGCCUAAGAACGACACAGUGUAUCCUGUUUGUUAAUAUUACAGUGAAUAGUGCGACGAUGUUAAACGGUGAGCGAUGACACGCCCGUGAAAAACGAUAACAACAGCUAUCCUUUGAUUGACCAGAAACGAUAGAGAAAACGCAAUACGCGAAGAACCCUUUUUGUGUAUUUUUUUGUGACAUUUAUUGAUAAAAACAUGCUUCAGCCAAGAGCUACAUACAUCAAACGAUAAAAAAGGAAAAAGGAAUGGAUAAUUUGAUGAUAACUACAUCAAGUAAGAAUAGUUCACGCAGUACAUCACCUAAGAGAAGAAAUACAUUUAUUUCAUCUCAACAAUUAUCAGCUACUUUGGAAUAUAUUCCAAAAAUACGUAAUGUUUCACUUUCCCAAACAGGGGAGGAUAGUACAGGCAGUGGAAGUAGUGGUGGUGAAGGCAGUCUCAGCAUGAAAGGUAGUAGGCAAAAAUCACCAGGAACUGUGAUUCGAGUAGAUGCUAUGGAUGAAUCAAAUACCAAUUUAAUCACUGCCGAACAAGAUGAGUUUGUGCCAAAUAUUCAUCUACCAACUGAUGAUGAUGGAGAACAAUACCAUGCAACACAAUCGUUCCUAUCAAAUGGCUCUUCUGAAUUAAUAACUGAUGAUGUUGACUCUAAUUCUGCUCGUGUUUGUCAAGCAAUUGAAAACAUUCAAAAUAAAAUUGCUAAAACACGAGAACUUAUAAGAAUAGAACAAACCACACGUGAUGAAAAUGUCAAUGAAUAUUUAAAAUUAGCUGCAAAUGCAGAUAAGCAGCAACUUACCCGAAUCAAAGCAGUAUUUGAGAAGAAAAAUCAAAAAUCAGCGCACAGUAUUUCUCAACUCCAAAAAAAAUUAGAUAGUUACACAAAAAAAUUAAAAAAUUUUGAGUUGAAUGGUGCACCUACAAGUCAUAGACAACCAAGAGAAGUGCUUCGUGAUAUGGGACAAGGACUCAAAAACGUGGGUGGCAAUAUUAGAGUUGGAAUCAGUGGUUUUUCAGGAAGUGUAAUGUCUAAACCAAGAGAAUUUGCACAUUUAAUAAAAAAUAAGUUUGGCAGUGCUGAUAACAUAAAUACUUUAUCUCUUGAAAGUAAUGGCUCGACUUUUUAUGUAAACGAUACACCGCGUGCAGGUAAUGGAGAUAACGCUAGUGUUGAAGAUGAAAAAGCUCAUCAUGGUUCAGCGACGCUUCCUGGUGGAUGUAGUUUGGGAUCAACUCAUAGUGCUGCAGCAAUGAAAUUUCCAUCCGAAGAAGGAUCCGAAUGUUCUAGCGUUACAAGCGAAAGCGGACCUGGUAGUAGGGGGCAAGCACACACAUGUCACAAUAGUAAUAAUGCUGCACUUAGUCUCAAAUCUAUUUUCUCAGAGCUACAAGAACAUAGAGAAAAUCUGGAGAGAAUGAAAGAUAAAUUAGAAGGUUUAAAGAGUUUACAACAAGAAGUGACAUAUCUUUCCCAUGCUUUACAAGAGGAACGUUUUAGAUGUGAGCGUUUAGAAGAACAAAUUAAUGAUUUGACUGAGCUGCAUCAAAAUGAAGUAGAAAACUUGAAACAGACUAUAACAGAUAUGGAAGAAAAAGUGCAAUAUCAAAGUGAAGAUCGUUUAAGAGAUAUACAUGAAAUGUUGGAAAGUUGUCAAACUAAAAUUUGUAAAAUGGAACAUCAACAACAGCAACACCAACAAUAUGUCACGUUAGAGGGUUUGGAUAAUAGUAAUGCAAGAGCAUUAGUUGUAAAGCUUAUAAAUGUGGUAUUGACUGUGUUGCAAGUUAUUCUACUUCUUGUCGCGACAGGUGCUGGUAUAAUGAUGCCUUUUCUUAGGACUAGUUGUACUAAGCCUCAUUGUUUCAUGUGCAGGGUGCGCAUAUUAACUACUACGCUUGUUGUAUUGGGCAUAGUAUUUGUGCUCAAACAAUGGCCUGAGGUUCACGACGUCGGCAGUCACCUCAUGCGCCAUCUUAAACAGACGCUCGCUGUUAAGUAGCACAUUGGUUAUUCUAGGGUAUAUUUAAAUUAAUGACCCUGUAAUGAAGAAAAAUUGUACACAAUGAUCAACAUUUUGGACCUAUUUAUGUGCUGUAGUUUUGGAGCAAUAAUAGUAGAAUUACAAUACAUAAAACAUAUUUUGCUGUGCAAAAAUGUUUCACUUAUGAAGGAGAGAUUUUCUAGAGAUGAUAAAUGCAAAAGUAUCAUUUAUCUCUUGUGCAAGUAUUAUAAAUUUAUUUACGAUCUUUUUAUUUUUACUUGAGUAAUUUUGUUAAAAAAGAAAAAAUAAAGAGAAAUAUACGUAUUUACUAUUUAAUAUUACUUGCGCGCGAAUAAAACAACUAUUAUAAUUUAAAAUGAAAUAAAAUAAUUUCUAUAAAAUAUGAAAGAGACAGUAAUAAUAAUGCUGUACACUGAUAUUGCUUGAUUACAUACGGCACAUUGUUAGAAGAAUUUACUCUAAUAUGUGUGCGAUUAAAUUUACUUUUACAUGAAUUAUUGAUUAAUAUGAAAUUAAAAAAAAAAUUAUUAAACAAGCGAAAGUAUUGAUUAAAAAAUAAAAAAAAUUCUAUCAUUAGUGUCUGUGGGAGGUGCUAUUAUCAUUUUCGGGAGUGGUUUGUACAUUCGAUAUUCUAGUAAUUAAUUUUUAAUAAUUGCAAAGAUUAUAAAUACAUUCUAAAUAAAAUAUUUGUAAUUAAAAUCAUCCAAUUUCUAAACAAUAAUAUAAAUUAAAAAAACAAUAGAAUAUUUAGAUAAUUGUAUAAAUAUUCUUUAUUUCAAAAUGAUUAUUAUAAAAUAUAUAAUAUAUUCUUUAA
rnacentral:misc_RNA from 1 species